AUAGCCAACAAAAUUACAAAAAAUAUUUAAAUAGUAAAAAAUAUGUUAAUUUAACGUGUUAAAAUUUAAAAAUAAAUUUUAAUUAUGACAUGCAUCUUAACAUUUAUAUAAAUAUAUAUCAUAACCUAAAUAUAAAUAAUUUAACAACUUAAAUUAGAAAAAAAUAAAAAUCCCGGGCGUAGCCCGGGUUAAUCCCUAGUAUAUGUAUAUAUAAUAAACGUUAUUGAAUUGGAGAUAUCUCAAAAUUAUGGAAAAUCUUACCAAAAUGUUUCAAAUGAGAUAUUUUGGGUUGAGAAACCUAAUAAAUUAUAAUAUUUAUACUUUUUAACAUUUUGAAAACUUUUAAUUAGAUACUCUCAAUAAGGAUGUUCUAAUCCUUCUAAUAACUUAGGUUACCUUAAUAUUCUUCACUAUUGACAAAAAAAAACUUAAUAUUCUUCACUCAUAACACAAACUAACCUAAAAACAAAACACAACAAAAACAUGAAGGAAAAGAAUAAGGAUCAGAUCAGUUACAAAAAAAAAAAGAAUAAGUAUCAGAUCAAGAAUGUCGAUUUUUCUCAAGCUUCCCCUUAGAACCUAUAUAGGUCUUCCGAUAAUCGGAAACCUGCACCAAAGUUGGAAAAUCUCUACAUAGAUCAUUUCAUACACUCUCUCAAAUAUAUCAGAGCGUGGUGUUUCUUUGAUUUGGCAUGGUCCCCGUGUAAGUUAAAUUUACAUGAACCCUAAGAUCUUUAAACAUCUAGGUUAAUCACAUAAUAGAAUCAUAUGAAUGUUUAUAGAGUUACCUAGAUUCAUUGUGCCUGAGAGAUCUUCCUGAAUGGAUUGAAUCCUGAAUGGAAGAUGAACAGCUUAAUCUCUUCUUAGGAACUUUUAGGUUUCUCUCGCCUGUUAUAGUUGUUGCUUUUAGGAUUCAUUUGCACCCAAUUGCUUUGUGUCCUUCAGGCAUAGGAACAACAUCCCAAAUUUCAUUCUUAACCAUUGAGUCUAUUUCAUCUUUACUGGCCUCGACCCAUUGAUCAGAAUUAACAUCUUUCAUGGCUUGUGAAUAAGAAACCGGUUCUUUUAAAUCCCAUUCUCCAGAUUCUAUUUGAUAAAGCACAUAGUCAUCAGAAUUAGCUGAUCUUCUCUCACGAGUUGAUAUUCUUAGUGCUGGUUCCUCGUGUGCUUCAUGUUCAUUAUUGGCGAUAUUUUCAUUAUGGAGUGGUGGAUCAUUCAACUGGUUUUCCUCGUUGUGCAACGGUUCUACAACAGGAGGAUUCCCAACAUUCGGAACUAAGGAGACAGUCAAAGGAUGAAGUUGAAAACGAUUUAGAAGUGGCAAGGUGGCUUCAGUUGAUCAAAGUGAUUCUAGAGAAAAAUUGAAGUGAGAGAGAAGGGGACAAAGUGGUUUUAUUCAAAAUCAUGGUGUUGUCUUACUUCCCUGCCCAGUCACAAACAAUGAUAUCAAUGUGAUGGAGUCUUCUCACCUAUUUUCCAAUUUUGUCCAAGGUAUUGCUCUUCCUGUUCAUUACAUAAUUCAAGAAAAAUAAUAUAAUAUAGGAUAUUACUUGGCUGAUGGCAUAUAUCCAAAAUGGUCAACAAUAGUACAAACUAUUCACCAACCAAUGGGCUGAAAGAAAAAAUAUUUUGCUACACAACAAGAAGCUUGUAGAAAAUAUGUAGAACGCGUAUUUGGAGUUCUCCAAUCGCGUUUUGCUAUUAUAAAAGGACCAGUUUGUUUUUCAGAAAAAUGUGUUGCAUGACAUUAUGACUACAUGUAUAAUUCUACACAAUAUGAUAAUUGAAGAUGAAAGUGAUCUUGACGCACCAAUUGAAGUGGGAGUAGAAGCUCCACCUCCAGAGGUACAAACAGCAGAGAAUGAUAAUAUUUACAUUAGAAUUAUUUCAAAAUUAACGAGUUUUUUUUUUGCGGUUUGGGCGGGAAAACAAUUUUUUUUGGUUUUAGCGAGAAAACACAUUUUUUUUGUUUAGGCGGAAAACAAGUUUUUUCGGUUCUUUCGGGAAAAUAAGAUUUUUCGGUUUUGGCGAGAAAAUACAAAUUUUCGGUUUUGGCGAGAAAACAGAUUUUUGCGGUUUUGGCGGAAAAACACGUUUUUGGCGAGAAAACACGUUUUUGCGGUUUUGGAGGGAAUCACGUUUUUACGAUUUUGGCGGGAAAACGCGUUUUUGUAGUUUUGGCAAGAAAACGUGUUUUUGUGGUUUUGGCGAGAAAACGUGUUUUUGCGGUUUUGGCGGGAAAACACGUUUUUACGGUUUUGGCGGGAAAACACGUUUUUUUGCGGGAACACAUUUUUACGGUUUUCGCGGGAAAACGAGAUUUUUCGGUUUUGGCGAGAAAACACGUUUCUUGGCUUUGGCGGGAAAACACGUUUUUUUUGUUUUGGCGGAAAAACAUGUUUUGCAAUUUUGGCGGGAAAACACGUUAUGCGACUUUGGCGGGAAAACGUGUUUUUUUGUGUUUUGGCGGAAAAAUGUAUUUUGGGGUGUUGGCGUGAAAAUAUUUUUUUUGUGAUUUUGGCAUGAAAACAUAUUUUUCGGUUUUUGCGGGAAAACCCAGUUUUGCAAUUUUAACGGGAAAACAUUUUUUUGCAAUUUUAGCGCGUUUUAGGGUUUUGGCGUGAAAAGGUAGUUUUUAGCACGGGAAAAAGUGUUUUUGUAGUUUUGUCAGUUUUCAUUUGUGACAAAAAUGAUAUUAUGUUUAGGUUUGUAAUUUGUGAAUUACAUUAGGGGCAUAAUAGACAUUAUGCCAUUUUGAAUGAACCAUUUCCAUUCAAAUGAUCUAAAUUGGUUCAGCUGAAUGGACUUUAAAAUUAAGCCUAAAUUUCCAAAAGUCAUCCGGAUGAUUCAUCUGAAUGAAUUGCAUUUUUAGUGUCUAAACAAACAAAACUCUCAUAUUCAUCCAGAUGGAGAAACAAACAGGCCCUUAGCAAAAUCAAAGAUAAAGAAACUCAUUUUGCACUUAAAAUUCGUUAAUUUAUUAUUUGUGGGAAAGAUACACUAAUGGUGAUGUUUAAGUUCAAAUGUAUUAUGUUUUAAUACAAUGUAAUGUAAUGUUUAAGAUAAUAAAAUGUUUGAUAUAUAUAUAUUAUUUAUAAGAACUUUGUCAAAACAAAAUAUAAGAGAUCAGUUUGUAAAUUUUGUAAGUAAAAAAUAUUAGUUAUAAAUAAAAAGUAUAUAUUUAAAAAUAAUUCUUUUUAGAAUUAAAUAUAGAGUAAACCAUUGGAGAAAAACUUUACUCUAUUUUAAAGUUAUUCUAUGGUAGAACUUGUCUUUUUUUUUUUUUUUGUAACCGGAAAUGGUCUGGAAUAUAUAAAUCAGCCCUAAGUUAAAAAGUGUAAAGAACGCAAGAAUUCGUUAUCCAAUUUUGUUGGGCUGGAAUUCGGUAAUGUCUGGCCCGGUUCAUCGACGUUUAUAUUUGGCACAUCCUUUCAUGGUUAAAAUUCUAGAAUACCAAUCGAUAUUAUAAUUUUGGCCAAUAUAUAGUUUUUGGCUAAUUUUUUUCACAUGCUAGUAUAAACUUGGAACGAAUCCGAAUAUCCAGAAAAUUUAGAAUAUCCGGAUCCGUCGAAUUCUGAUUUUAAUAUUUAAUUCGUAUUUGUCCUUUUCAGAUAUCUGACUAUCAGAUUUUUAUCUAAAUAUUUUAUUAUUUGCGAGUAUCCAGAUUCAGAUCUGAAUCCAUAAAAAUAUUAAUAAUUUUUUUAAUAUAAAACUAAAAUAAUACACAAAUUAAAUAUUCAUAUAAAAUCUAUAAAGAAAAUAUAUAUGAUAAUAAAAAUGAUUUUAAAA